UACGUAGGGGGCAAGCGUUGUCCGGAAUCAUUGGGCGUAAAGAGCGUGUAGGCGGUCCGGUAAGUCGGCUGUGAAAGUCCAGGGCUCAACCCUGGGACUGCCGGUCGAUACUGCCGGACUAGAGUUCGGAAGAGGCGAGUGGAAUUCCCGGUGUGACGCGGUGAAAUGCGCAGAUAUCGGGAGGAACACCUAUGGCGAAGGCAGCUCGCUGGGACGUUACUGACGCUGGAGACGCGAAAGCGUGGGGAGCAAACAGG
rnacentral:rRNA from 1 species